UAUGUGUNGCCGGGCUGAGAGGUUGAACGGCCACAUUGGGACUGAGACACGGCCCAAACUCCUACGGGAGGCAGCAGUAGGGAAUUUUCGGCAAUGGAGGAAACUCUGACCGAGCAACGCCGCGUGAACGAUGAAGUAUUUCAGGUACGUAAAGUUCUUUUAUUAGGGAAGAAUAAAUGAUGGAAAAAUCAUUCUGACGGUACCUAAUGAAUAAGCCCCGGCUAACUAUGUGCCAGCAGCCGCGGUAAUACAUAGGGGGCAAGCGUUAUCCGGAAUUAUUGGGCGUAAAGGGUGCGUAGGCGGUUAAAUAAGUUUAUGGUCUAAGUGCAAUGCUCAACAUUGUGAUGCUAUAAAAACUGUUUAGCUAGAGUAAGAUAGAGGCAAGUGGAAUUCCAUGUGUAGUGGUAAAAUGCGUAAAUAUAUGGAGGAACACCAGUAGCGAAGGCGGCUUGCUGGGUCUUUACUGACGCUGAGGCACGAAAGCGUGGGGAGCAAACAGGAUUAGAUACCCUGGUAGUCCACGCCGUNAACGAUGAGUGCUAAACGUUGGGUAAACCAGUGUUGAAGUUAACACAUUAGUACUCCGCCUGAGUAGUACGUACGCGAGUAUGGAACUUUAAGGAAUUGACCGGACUCCCCACAANCGGUGGAUCAUGUUGUU
rnacentral:rRNA from 1 species